CUCCAUCACGAAGAUUUUGGAUUGUGACACACGCCGAUAAAACCAUCCUGGUUUUCUUGAAUCUUCAGCGGCCAACUCCAGUCACCCCAAGAAGAAACCAAACCCAUUCCCUCCAUUGACACACAAAAAUCGGCGCCCUCUCACCAUCUCAUUCUCUCAGACAAAGAGAAAAGAUGGCAGCCUCACUGGAAUGAACAAAAAGCUUCAGCCGUCCACCUCCAUAAUAUAACCCUCCAUCAUCUCCUUCUCAAAAAAAAAAAAAAAAAAAAAAAGAAGAAAGAAACACACGCAUAGAUACAUUAGGGAGGUUCUGGAACAGAAAUCUGGGGAAAAUUUUGGAAAGAAUUUUCCUUCUUUUGAAGUUUCUGAUCUAAUUUCAGAAAACAAAAAAAAAAUAGGUAAAAGUAUUUUGUUUCUUCAUCUCCAAUCCGAUUUCUGUUUAAAACUAUGGAUUUUUCAAUUCAGAUUGAAGUUUGGUUUUUGAGUUCGAUUGAGCCGAAUUCGCCGUUCGAAUUUGGUUGCUGGUGCGGGUUCCAAUUCGUGGCUCUUAAAUCAUGUUGUUGAUGUUCUUUGUGAUUGGAUUCAAUAGAUUCGAGGUGUUUUACUUGAAUCUUCCCGAUAAUCGAAAGUUUCGCGCGUUAAGGUCCCGAUAGACAUGUCGAGAGCCCUCCAAGUAGGCUAUCAGCUCAACGGAAGAUGUUGGUGCGCUCGAUUUGCUUCGAAGUUGCUUGUUUAGUUAGUAUGAGUUAGUUGUGUAUUGUUUGGUAUGGCGGGACUCUGUCCCGACCUAUAUGAAAAUUAUGUAUUCUUAGAGGCUUGUAGACAGAUGUCAUGUACGUAAAAGAUUGUAUGGCCUUGUCGACCUAUGUUUAGUGUUCAAGUGGUCAUUUUGGUCUUAGAGGCCCAUAUGUCUUAUGUAUAAGUUGGCAUUACCUGUUGUAUUCUACAUAUUUCACGGCAG